rfam:Myotis davidii contig40347, whole genome shotgun sequence.
CGGUUCCUGCCGACGGGGUCUGUCCAGUCAUCAGGUCUGCCGUGCGAUGGCUCCG